AGACGGGUCGGGUGGGUGGCCGACAUCGCCGCUGACCCCGUGCGCUCGCUUCGCUCGUGACGGCGUGGCCGAGGACCAAAAAAACCAACCCCCCGGGCCCGACGGCGCGACCCGCCCGGGGCGCACUGAGGACAGUCCGCCCCGCCCCGACCCGCACCGUGGCCCUCCCCACACCCCGGGAAGGGGGGGAGGAGGAGGCGAGAGAGCGAGCAGGGCGGGCGGACAGGCAGACGCGGGCCGCCGCCGCUUG
rnacentral:lncRNA from 1 species